CUCUUUGUGACCCCAUGGACUAUAGCCCGUCAGGCUCCUCUGUCUGUGAAAUUCUCCAGGCAAGAGUACUGGAGUGGAUUGCCAUUCCCUUCUCCAAUGAGAUAUAUAGAACUCUACAAAUUAAAAUUAUGGAAUAAUUACCCAAUUCUUAUAUUUCCACAGCAAUUAUGAAAUGACUCUAGAGUUUCAAUAUCGAGUUUAAAGUUGGCCCUUUGCUUUAGUGAAUCAGGCAAAAAAAAAAAAAAAAGAAGAUGCUUUCUUUGCUUCAAAUUCCAUGGAACAAAAGAUAUAAACACACAGUUUUGCAGAAAGGUAAAGAUUUUUUAAACCUUUAAACCUAAAGGUAAAGGUCCAGGUAAAGAUUUUUUAAACCUAAUGCAAUGUCUGAUUCUAUUUAUAUUUUCUUGACUAUUUCUUUUAACCUCUUGAGAGACAGAGGAAUAGAGAGAGAUCUUUUUAUCCUGCUAUUUUCAAAUACCCAUAGUUAUGUAUCCUGAAUGUAUCUAUAGCCUCUGGUCUCAUAUGUUAUUUG